GCGUGGACCCUGGACUUGUGCUCCUAUGUCAUUUAUCCCAGCUGUUCCCGGUUUCCCCUUCUGAGCCAGGUAUCUUGGCCUCCUCGGUGGCCACAGCUUUCUGCUAAGCCUCGGUCUUCUUCCCGGCAGGAGAGACCUUUGACCCAUGUGCGUCCUGAUCCGUGGCCAGGAGCGUACCCAGUACGGCGGUGCGCCACUCGAGAGGCCUGACCCAGAUAUCAGUGCUCCAUGGGAAUGCUGCAAAGACCCGGGGCUCUGAAAAGAUGGCCAUGCUAAUUCCUCUGUUGGUGUUUACCCAAGACAUGAAGACCAGAACAGGAAGAGACACUCGUGGGCUAUUCAUAAUCAACCAACUCAAUCCAUGAAUGGCAAAGUUGAUGGUGAUAAUUUUCCCUCAGAAACUGUCCCUCAGAAUGAAAAGUAGCCCAUGAUGAAUGUGGCCUAAGCACAUCUCAGAAGCACAAUGCCAAGGGAAAGAAACUCCUUAAAUGACAUCGUGGGGUUGGCAGGAGAAUAGAAACAGAAAUCAGACCCGCGGUUGUCAGAGAUGGAAACACAGAAUGGGAUUUGUUUGCAAAGCGUCUCAAAGAACUUUGUGGAAAGAACAGCCAUGGUCUAAGCUGUAAUACUGGUCAAAGCUUGUUUCAUGGUACUCAAAGAAGAUGAACUUAAGGAUUUAAAUACUUCUCAGUAAGCUUGAGUUAAAAGGGGUGUGAAGUCCUCAAAUAAUUAAACAUAGACUUGGAUGAUUCAGCCCACUUCUAGGCACAUAACAGAGAGGAUGGAAAGCAGGUCUGUAUGCCAAAUGCGCAUGACACAGUUCUCACGGGCACUAAAAGGUUGGGCCCAGCCCAGAAGGCACCGAUCAACAGGUGCAUGGAUACAGCAAAUGUGACAGGUACUGACUUUUUCAAGUAAUGGGACGAGUUAAGAAGAGAGAUCUGCUAAAAGGCUGCAUCCUCCCAUCUAGCAAGGCCUCCUAGACCUUAGGCUUUGCUGCAAUGGCAAAGAUAAAUGUGAUGAAGACGGGGGCUGGAGAGAUGGUUCAGUGGUUACGAGCACUAGCUGCUCUUCCAUAGGUCCUGAGUUCAAUUCCCAGCAAACACAUGGUGGCUCACAGCCAUCUGUAAUGGAAUCUGAUGCCCUCUUCUGGUGUGUCUGAAGACAGCGAGAGUGUACUCAUACACAAAAUAAACAAAUCUUCAAAAAAAAAAAAAUGUGAUGAAGACACAAUACUCUGGGACUAGGUGUGAAUGUCCUUGUCCCAAGCUCCUCCCAUACAAAGGACCACCCUACUUGUCUCUUCAGGUUGCCCCACCUGUCUCCUUUUAGCCAGACGGAUGAUUCUGCUUUUCUACCAUUAUAAUCAGCAUUCUCUGAUAGGAAUCUUCUAGAGAAGGGAGGCUUAGAGCAUGCAUAUGCACACACACACACACACACACACACACACACACACACGAGUUUAUUCUAGAGAAUUGGUUCAUAGAGCCAUGGAGGCUAACAUGCCCCAUAUUCUGCAAUUCUCUGGCUGGAAACCCAGGAGAGAUAAUGGUGUAAUUCUAGUUGGAAGCUAGCAGACCUGAGACCCAGUGUUUCUCUUUGACUCCAAACGGAGAAGAGAAGCCAUUGUGAAGACCACAAGGCAGAAGGAGCACCUUCUUGCUCUUGGAAGUAUCACUCUUCAUUGUCUGUUGAAGACUUCUGGACUGACUGGAGGAGGCCGGUCCUCACUUAGGAGGUCUUUUUCCUUCAAUCACUCUACCAACUUAAAUAUUGAUCUCACCCAGAACAUCUCACAUGCAAAUCCAGAAUCAGUCCACUUAAGCUGACACAUAAACUUGUUGUGUUGGGUAAUUUUAUGUCAACUUGACACAAGCUAGAAUUAUCUGAGAAGCAACCACAAUUGAGGAAAUGCCUCCAUAGAUUGGCCUGUAGGUAAGUCUGUGGGGGCAUUGUCUCAAUUAAUGAUUGACGUAGGAGUGGGCAGCCUACAGGGAUGCUGCUACCCCUGGGCAAGUGAUCCCCAGUCGUAUAAGAAAGUAGGCCAAGAGAGCUGGCUAGCAAACGGAUUAAUGUUCACAUGGCUUUUGCUCCCGUUCCUGCCUCCAAGUUCCUGCCCUGGCUUCCUUCAGUGAUGGACUUAUACACUCUAAGGUGAAAUAAACUCUUUCCUUCUC
ensembl:lincRNA 1700112J16Rik RIKEN cDNA 1700112J16 gene